CUGUCCAAGAUAAGCAUGCACGUCUAGUACAAACUAAAUGAUGGUGAACUGCAAAUGGCUCAUUACAACGGUUAUGAUGUACCCGGGAGUUCCGAUGGAUAUUUCCAGUAACACUAGAACUAAUACAUGUCCCUGCGUUUAUUAGUUUCGCACAGUCCGUCGCUGAGUCAUGGUAAACAGUUGAUCGACUCGACGUCCCGGAACAGUUUCCGCCCCAUCAGCUUCGAUGGUUGGGUAUUGGCCUACCAUUGCAACAACGGGUAACGAGGAAUUAGGGUUUGAUUUCGGAGAGGGAGCCUGAGAAACGGCUACCACAUCUACGGAUGGCAGCAGGCGCGCAAAUUACCCAAUGCAGACACUGUGAGGUAGUGACGAGAAAUAAUAAAGCGGGACUUCUGUUUCGCUAUUAUAAUGAGGAAUAACCAAAGGUCAUUCCGAUUAGCAACUGAUGGGAAAGUCUGGUGCCAGCAGCCGCGGUAAUACCAGCGUCAGUAGCAUAU
rnacentral:rRNA from 1 species